rnacentral:rRNA from 1 species
AUACGGAGGAUGCGAGCGUUAUCCGGAUUUAUUGGGUUUAAAGGGAGCGUAGGUGGGAUAUUAAGUCAGCUGUGAAAGUUUGGGGCUCAACCUUAAAAUUGCAGUUGAUACUGGUUUCCUUGAGUACGGUACAGGUGGGCGGAAUUCGUGGUGUAGCGGUGAAAUGCUUAGAUAUCACGAAGAACUCCGAUCGCGAAGGCAGCUCACCGGGCCGGAACUGACACUGAUGCUCGAAAGUGCGGGUAUCAAACAGGAUUAGAUACCCUGGUAGUCCGCACAGUAAACGAUGAAUACUCGCUGUUUGCGAUAUACAGUAAGCGGCCAAGCGAAAGCAUUAAGUAUUCCACCUGGGGAGUACGCCGGCAACGGUGAAACUCAAAGGAAUUGACGGGG